UACAGAGGUGGCAAGCGUUGUUCGGAAUUACUGGGCGUAAAGGGCGCGUAGGCGGCCUUGUAAGUCCUGUGUGAAAUCCCCCGGCUCAACUGGGGAACUGCACAGGAGACUGCUUGGCUUGAGUUCGGGAGAGGGGAGCGGAAUUCCGGGUGUAGCGGUGAAAUGCGUAGAUAUCCGGAGGAACACCGGUGGCGAAGGCGGAUCUCUGGGCCUUACCUGACGCUCAGGCGCGAAAGCUAGGGGAGCGAACAGG
rnacentral:rRNA from 1 species